AUUUGAUAGAUAAAGGAUGAUAGCUGAUGGGAAUGAGGACAAGAUCAUAUUUCCUUCUCACAGUCACGGCAAAGGCCUCAGUCAUGUCUAAAUCUUCAUAAUUCAUUCCUCCAGGGAGCUUCCAAUCGAAAUAAUACAACAGUUGUGCCAACGGCGAUAUAAUAUUAGGUAUUUCAUACCCCUUGAUCACGCAGUCCUCAGAAGAUUCUCUUGGAACUAACAGAGGUGCAGAAGGGUGUAGCCUGAGUGUUUCUUUCACUACUGAUUCAAUAAACUUUAGCUCAUGAAGUUCUGUUUCGUCCACGUAUCCUUUCGCAUCAAAUACCUGCCUGACCUCGGUUUGUGCCUUUUUCAUCAACCGUGGAUUUUUCAGUAGUUCAGACAUUGCCCACUCCACAGUUGUCGAGGAUGUUUCACUCCCAGCACCAAAGAUGUCCUGAAGCAGAAACGAGAAAUUCAAGGGAAGAUCACCAUC